AGAAUCAACGCUGGCGGCGUGCCUAACACAUGCAAGUCGAACGAGAAAGGGGAGCAAUCCCUGAGUACAGUGGCGACCGGGUGAGUAACACGUGACUAACCUACCCUCGAGUGUGGAAUAACAUCGGGAAACCGAUACUAAUACCGCAUAACAUCGCAAGAUCAAAGGAGUAAUCCGCUUGAGGAGGGGGUCGCGGCUGAUUAGCUAGUUGGCGGGGUAAUGGCCCACCAAGGCGAAGAUCGGUA
rnacentral:rRNA from 1 species